UGCGUAGGUGGUUUGAUAAGUCGUAUGUGAAAGCCCUGGGCUCAACCUGGGAAUUGCAUAGGAAACUAUUAGGCUAGAGUACAGUAGAGGGAAGUGGAAUUUCAGGUGUAGCGGUGAAAUGCGUAGAUAUCUGAAGGAACACCAGUGGCGAAGGCGACUUCCUGGACUGUUACUGACACUGAGGCACGAAAGCGUGGGGAGCAAACA
rnacentral:rRNA from 1 species